CCCCAUCAUGCUCACUUCCUUCAUCUUCAUCUUGUUCAUCUUCACUUUAUUCAUCUUCCCCAAAAACCCAGAACUCCACCUCAUCCGACCACCACUCCAGCCACCUCCCACAUUUAAACGACCAACCUCCACCACGUAAACCACCUGAUUCAAGUUCUCCGGUCACCACCCCCCUCACUCCAGACCUCGGUGAAGAUAAAUCUCAGAUCUGUGUCCAAAUCCCUAAACCCGGAUUUGGGUACUACUCUUUGGGGAAUGAGAGAAAGGAUAAACCAGAUCUGGGUCGGAGGUUUGAAUGAGGAAGGAGGCUGGUUGGUUCGGUUACGGAAGGUGAUUUGCCGGAUAGAACACCAUCAGGAACAGUCCAGGUUUUGACCCCAAGCAAUCAUGCUAACACACCUCAAUUUUCUGAGCCAAUGAAAUUUGAUACCAUGAACAUUGAUGCUGUGAUCAGAACAGAUGAUGCUGAACUCGGAGAAGCAGAUCAAGACGAGCCAAAAUCUGGAGAUCCAUUGGAUUACUUUCUCCCUCCACCACCCAAAGCUAGAUGCUCCGAGGAGCUGCAAGUUAGUUGUGUUAAAAGUUAAAAUUGUUUGGUAACUCAGUCAUUGAGUACCAUUUUGUUGCAAUGUAAAGUGGCAUGUCAUUACUUAUUUAAGCUGGUUCGUUUUGGUCUUUUUCUUUGGUAUUGUGUAAAUAUUUAGUUGUGUUUUCUCUUUCUUGAAUCUGAGCAAGAGCAUUUUUUGGUAUUGAUAUAAUAUUCCAUAUUUGUAUUGUCUUUGAAUUUGAUCAAAUGAGUUUUGGCAAUUAAAAGUUUCUGUUGAA